rnacentral:rRNA from 1 species
AGUCAAGUAAUUAAGUGCAUGUGGUGGAUGCCUUGGCAGUCAGAGGCGAUGAAAGACGUGAUAGCCUGCGAAAAGCUCCGGGGAGGCGGCAAAUAUCCUUUGAUCCGGAGAUGUCUGAAUGGGGGAACCCACCUACUUUAAGGUAGGUAUUGCAACAUGAAUACAUAGUGUUGCAAGGCGAACGAGGGGAAGUGAAACAUCUCAGUACCCUUAGGAAAAGAAAUCAAUUGAGAUUCCCUCAGUAGCGGCGAGCGAACGGGGAUCAGCCCAUUAAGUUAUGUGUGUUUUAGUGGAACGCUCUGGGAAGUGCGAACGUAGAGGGUGAUAUUCCCGUACACGAAAGGGCACACAUAAUGAUGACGAGUAGGGCGAGGCACGUGAAACCUUGUCUGAAUAUGGGGGGACCAUCCUCCAAGGCUAAAUACUCCUGACUGACCGAUAGUGAACCAGUACCGUGAGGGAAAGGCGAAAAGAACCCCUGUGAGGGGAGUGAAAUAGAUCCUGAAACCGCAUGCAUACAAGCAGUGGGAGCACCUUCGUGGUGUGACUGCGUACCUUUUGUAUAAUGGGUCAGCGACUUAUAUUCAGUAGCGAGGUUAACCGUAUAGGGGAGCCGUAGAGAAAUCGAGUCUUAAUAGGGCGUUUAGUUGCUGGGUAUAGACCCGAAACCAGGCGAUCUAUCCAUGAGCAGGUUGAAGGUUGGGUAACACUAACUGGAGGACCGAACCCACUGUCGUUGAAAAGCCAGGGGAUGACUUGUGGAUAGGGGUGAAAGGCUAAUCAAGCCUGGUGAUAGCUGGUUCUCCCCGAAAGCUAUUUAGGUAGCGCCUCGGACGAAUACCAUAGGGGGUAGAGCACUGUUUCGGCUAGGGGGUCAUCCCGACUUACCAAACCGAUGCAAACUCCGAAUACCUAUGAGUACUAUCCGGGAGACAGACUGCGGGUGCUAACGUCCGUAGUCAAGAGGAAAACAAUCCAGACCGCCAGCUAAGGCCCCAAAAUCAUAGUUAAGUGGGAAACGAUGUGGGAAGGCAUAGACAGCUAGGAGGUUGGCUUAGAAGCAGCCACCCUUUAAAGAAAGCGUAAUAGCUCACUAGUCGAGUCGGCCUGCGCGGAAGAUGUAACGGGGCUAAAACUAUGUGCCGAAGCUGCGGAUGUAUACUUUGUAUACGUGGUAGGGGAGCGUUCUGUAAGCCGAUGAAGGUGUGUUGAGAAGCAUGCUGGAGGUAUCAGAAGUGCGAAUGCUGACGUGAGUAACGACAAAACGGGUGAAAAACCCGUUCGCCGAAAGACCAAGGGUUCCAGUCCAACGUUAAUCGGGGCUGGGUGAGUCGACCCCUAAGGCGAGGCCGAAAGGCGUAGUCGAUGGGAAAAUGGUUAAUAUUCCAUUACUUCUGUGUAAUGCGAUGAGAGGACGGAGAAGGCUAAAUCAGCCUGGCGUUGGUUGUCCAGGUGAAAGGAUGUAGGCAUGUAUCUUAGGCAAAUCCGGGGUACUCUAUGCUGAGAUCUGAUAGCAAGCUGUACUCGUACAGCGAAGUGGUUGAUGCCAUGCUUCCAGGAAAAGUCUCUAAGCUUCAGUUACACAGGAAUCGUACCCGAAACCGACACAGGUGGUCAGGUCGAGUAGACCAAGGCGCUUGAGAGAACUCUGCUGAAGGAACUAGGCAAAAUGGUACCGUAACUUCGGGAGAAGGUACGCUGUUGUUGGUGAUGGAACUCGCUUCCUGAGCUGACGACAGCCGCAGAAACCAGGCCGCUGCAACUGUUUAUUAAAAACAUAGCACUCUGCAAACACGAAAGUGGACGUAUAGGGUGUGAUGCCUGCCCGGUGCUGGAAGGUUAAUUGAUGGGGUUAGCGUAAGCGAAGCUCUUGAUCGAAGCCCCAGUAAACGGCGGCCGUAACUAUAACGGUCCUAAGGUAGCGAAAUUCCUUGUCGGGUAAGUUCCGACCUGCACGAAUGGCAUAAUGAUGGCGGCGCUGUCUCCAGCAGAGGCUCAGUGAAAUCGAAAUCGCUGUGAAGAUGCAGUGUACCCGCGGCUAGACGGAAAGACCCCGUGAACCUUUACUGCAGCUUGACACUGAACUUUGACCUUACUUGUGUAGGAUAGGUGGGAGGCUUUGAAGCUGGAACGCUAGUUCCAGUGGAGCCGUCCUUGAAAUACCACCCUGGUAAUGUUGAGGUUCUAACUCUGUCCCGUGAUCCGGGACGAGGACCGUGUCUGGUGGGUAGUUUGACUGGGGCGGUCUCCUCCUAAAGAGUAACGGAGGAGUACGAAGGUGCGCUCAGCGUGGUCGGAAAUCACGCGUAGAGUAUAAAGGCAAAAGCGCGCUUAACUGCGAGACCCACAAGUCGAGCAGGUACGAAAGUAGGUCUUAGUGAUCCGGUGGUUCUGUAUGGAAGGGCCAUCGCUCAACGGAUAAAAGGUACUCUGGGGAUAACAGGCUGAUACCGCCCAAGAGUUCAUAUCGACGGCGGUGUUUGGCACCUCGAUGUCGGCUCAUCUCAUCCUGGGGCUGAAGCAGGUCCCAAGGGUAUGGCUGUUCGCCAUUUAAAGAGGUACGCGAGCUGGGUUUAGAACGUCGUGAGACAGUUCGGUCCCUAUCUACCGUGGGCGCUGGAAAUUUGAGAGGAUCUGCUCCUAGUACGAGAGGACCAGAGUGGACGAACCUCUGGUGUACCGGUUGUGACGCCAGUCGCAUCGCCGGGUAGCUAUGUUCGGAAGGGAUAACCGCUGAAAGCAUCUAAGCGGGAAGCCUACCUCAAGAUAAGAUUUCCCUAGGACUUUAUGUCCUCUAAAGAGCCGUUCGAGACUAGGACGUUGAUAGGUUGGAUGUGGAAGCAUAGUGAUAUGUGAAGCUGACCAAUACUAAUUGCUCGUGAGGCUUGACUAU